AAAUUGUUGAUUGGAUAAACCAAAGGCAGAUGGCUGGUGAUUCUUUGUCAGAGGGCAUAAUUUGUGUGAAGGCUAAGCUGAUGCAUCGUGAUCUUAUUUCUGAUACUACAUCUGACUCCAAUGAUAAUUUUAAAGUGAGUAAAGGGUGGUAUUGUGUGUAUUUUAUAUAUGUUUUUGCAAAAAUUAUACAAAUUAGAUCUCUUUGCAAACAUUUUAAUUGACUGAUUGAGAGAGAGAGAGAGAGAGAGUAUACAAGGGGCCCCUUUUCUACCGUUUUAGCCAAGGCUGCUGGAUCCAAUCAGAUGCAAGGCCACGUACACCAAUGAUACCACCUCAUUCAACCUGUGAUAUUUUGGUAACUAUAGCAUCUAGAGACUUCUGGUUUUUUGCAUUGCAAAGAGGAAGAGUUGCUUGUGGGCAGAACACCAUUUGUUCUCAUUCGAUUAUUGAAUUGCCAAGUGUAAUCAGUAUGUGAAUACAGGCUAUUUUGUGUGUUUCUCGCAAAACCUCCCGAGUUACGCGAGCUAAAAAUCUCAACAUCCCCAAGUUAAUUGUAAUGAAACUGGUCUGUUUAGGAAAAAAAAAAAAAAAAACUACCAAGCAUGAUCUAUAUAACAACGGAAGAGAAGUGUUUGCCAGGAAACAAGCCCAUGAAAGACAGGCUAACCCUGCUUCUGUGCGCCAAUGCUAGCUGCAACUGCAAAAAUUAAACCGUUUUUUUUUUUCUAAACUUGGGUUUGGCAAUGGCUGGAAUGAAUUACCAGAUUUAUAGGUAUCAAUAGUCAAACUAUUUAAUACUUGAAUGGCCAUUUGGAAUGAAUUAAGUUCGAGUAUUGAGUCUCCACUGUACUCACAAUACUAUUUGGUGGUGUUUAUUAACUUGCUCUUUCAAAUUUACUAACAGUUGUUGGGCCCAUGAAUUCCUUUGGUGGGCCCCUAGGCUGUAAUUUGCCUGCACCUAACGUAACUUUAUCUUUGAGCUAUGUGAUGACCAAAUUUAAAUAUAUUUCACUACAUUACUUAGUUAUUUUGUGUCUAGAUAAUGGUUUAUUAUUAUUAUUAUUAUUAUUAUUAUUAUUAUUAUUAUUAUUAUUAUUAUUAUUAUUAUUAUUAUUAUUAUUAUUAUUAUUAUUAUUAUUAUUAUUAUUAUUAUUAUUAUUAUUAUUAUUAUUAUCGUAAUUCAGUUGUAUUUGUAAAUUAACAAGUACCAUUUAUGGCGUAGGAAAUUCGAAACGGUAUCAUCCGUUUUAUUAUUAUUAUUAUUAUUAUUAUAUUUUAGUUUUUGUUAUUGCUAUUUUAUUAUUAUUAUUAUUAUUAUUAUUAUUAUUAUCAUCAUCAUCAUCAUCGUAAUGCAAAUCUAUUUGUAUAUUAACAAAUACCAUUAAGGCUGGGUUCAUAUAGAACUAUACGGUAUACGGUAUACGAUAUUUGCUAUUCGGUAUACGCUAUACGCUAUACUCUGUACAGGCAUGGCGGGUCACAUAGGCUGCACGCGUAUACUACUUACAGUCUUUUGGGUGCCGUCAAAAUGGACUCUUCAGACGAAGAAGAUUUGGCUCUUCUUUUACUGAUCGAGGCUGAGGAGGCACAUGUGAAGAAAAGUGCAUGGGUAAGACCACUUCCAAAUGCGACCUGCGUUGGGGGAGUUCCACACCACAUUUCAGAACCUGAUCGAUCACCCUGAUAAGGUGUUUUUCAACUACAUGCGUAUGUCAUACGACAAUUACAAAAUAAAAUGAUUGAAAUUCGAAAAUAAAUUUGUAUUUUUUUACUACAAACUCUACCAAGUGAGAAAAGACAGGGUUAGAUCAAAUACUGACUUUUUACAAUUGAAAUAUAUACAAAUACAAAUACUUUCGUUUGGGCUUCCAAAAAUUAAUAUGACGGCAUGUGCUUCGAAAUUCCGAUGAAAUGAGUCGCAACAAUUAUUGUAUUUGUAACUUACCUUGCAAAAAAUACAAGCUGCCACAACUAAACACGAUGGUAUCUGGUGGUAUACGGUGCACUAUUCUCGCUAUACUAUACUAUACGCAGCUAUACGGCAUUUCGUACAGUGCCCUCCUAUAUGACGCGGUAUUAGGAAAAUCACCCUGUUCGAUUCCAGCUAUACGCGUGCCCUCGAAAACGUGCACCGUAUAGCCGUAUAGUAUAGUUCUAUGUGAACCCAGCCUUAUGGCGUACAGAAUUCGAAACGGAUUAAUUCGUUUUCUGCAAUUCUCGAGGCAUGCCAUCGAGCGCCGGCCAUACCCUAUUCACACAUCAACAAGCAAGGGUGAGGUUGUGGCCAAGCAGGGAAUCAUUUCGAUCCACGAAGGCCAACCAGCUGGUACUUCCCAGCCAUAUGUGACCGUGCUCCGUCUCUGUCGGUUCGUGAACUCGCCUCAACUGGGCUAAUCACACGUACUCAGCCGCUUACCUCCUCCUGGUACUUUUUGUCUGUGAUGCCAUGAAACACCCAAGGGGAUUCCUGAGUGAUACUUCAGUGUUUCUAAUCCUGUGCAAUGUAACCAUCUUACAGCAAGUGAAGCCAUUAUUGUAGGGGGCUCUACAGUCUGCUGAAUCAGACCUCACAUCUUAGAAUCUCUUCUUGUGGCUGGCACACGAGAGCAACCAUCAGUCUCUCUUUGAGCCUUCUGACAUACAAGGAAGUAGGUAAGCAGAGCAGCACACUUGUCUAUAUACCAUGCUGUCACCUGCAUUAAGCAAGUUUCUAAAGGGAGUUAGUAGUAAUUUUUAGUAUAAAAAUAAUCACUUAAAAUAUAAAGGAAUGUAGUUAAGUAUCCAAGAUUUAAAAGUGUUAAGUGAUUGUAGGUAUAUAAUAAUGCAGAAAGACAACUCUGAAUUACUAAACUAGAUAUUUUAACUGCCAUGUGAUGUAUUUGUAAAAACCAGGAGAUGCAUGCUUGUUGUGCUUUUUGAACUAAAUUAUUUGAUUAUUUAAAACAUGCAUGCCUCUUCCUCCCUCCUAUAUUAAAAAACAUUACAUAUGAA